UACUGGUUGAUCCUGCCAGUAGUCAUAUGCUUGUCUUAAGAUUAAGCCAUGCAUGUCUAAGUAUAAGCAUUUAUACCGCGAGACUGCGAACGGCUCAUUAAAACAGUUAUGGUUUAUUUGAUGGUUCCUUUGCUACUUGGAUAACCGUAGUAAUUCUAGAGCUAAUGCAUGCACGAAGGGGCGACUUACGAAGCCCUGUAUUUAUUAGAUUAAAGCCAACCACCUCCGGGUGUUCGUGGUGAAUCAUAGUAACUUCUCGGAUCGCCGGCCCUGCGCCAGCGACGUGUCAUUCAAAUUUCUGCCCUAUCAGCUUUAGAUGGUAGGAUAUGGGCCUACCAUGGCGGUGACGGGUAACGGAGAAUUAGGGUUCGAUUCCGGAGAGGGAGCCUGAGAAACGGCUACCACUUCUAAGGAAGGCAGCAGGCGCGCAAAUUACCCAAUCCUGACUCAGGGAGGUAGUGACAAGAAAUAACAAUAAACCGGCUUAUGCCGGUUUAAUUGGGAAUGAGUACAAUUUAAACAUCUUAACGAGGAACAAUUGGAGGGCAAGUCUGGUGCCAGCAGCCGCGGUAAUUCCAGCUCCAUAGC
rnacentral:rRNA from 1 species